rnacentral:rRNA from 1 species
GUGCUAAGGUAGCAGAAUAGUUUGUUCUUUAAUUGGGAGUUGGUAUGAAUGGUUAUACAAGAAAUAUCUUUUAGGUUAAAUAAAAUAAUUUGAAUUUCAAGUUAAAAUGCUUGAAUAUUGUAAAGGGACGAUAAGACCCUAAAAGCUUUAAUUAUAUUUAGGUUUAUCAAAAUUUAUUGUAAAUGAUAAUUUAAUAAUAAUAUUAGCUGGGGAAGUGGUUUUGUUAAAAUCAGAAUUUAAUAUAACUUUUGUAAAGGAUUGUGAUUUUUUUAUAAAGAUAAAUAGUGGAGUUACUUUAGGGAUAACAGCGCAAUGGUCUUGGGGAGUUCUUAUUUAUAAGAUUAUGUGCGACCUCGAUGUUGAAUUAAAGUGUCUUAAAGGAGCAGAAGAUUUAUAAGAGGGUUUGUUCAACCUUUAAAUUUUUACAUGAUCU